GAUGAACGCUAGCGGGAGGCUUAACACAUGCAAGUCGUGGGGCAGCACGGGGUAGCAAUAUCCUGGUGGCGACCGGCGCACGGGUGAGUAACGCGUAUGCAACCUACCCAGUACAGGGGGAUAGCCCGGAGAAAUUCGGAUUAAUACCCCAUAAUGAUAUAGAGAGGCAUCUUUUUAUAUUUAAAGCUACGGCGGUACUGGAUGGGCAUGCGUAAGAUUAGCUAGUUGGUAGGGUAACGGCCUACCAAGGCUCCGAUCUUUAGGGGUCCUGAGAGGGUGAUCCCCCACACUGGUACUGAGACACGGACCAGACUCCUACGGGAGGCAGCAGUGAGGAAUAUUGGUCAAUGGGCGCAAGCCUGAACCAGCCAUCCUGCGUGAAGGAAGAAGGCGCUAUGCGUUGUAAACUUCUUUUCCGGAGGAAUAAAAUUUUGUACGAGUACAGGACUGAAGGUACUCCGGGAAUAAGCAUCGGCUAACUCCGUGCCAGCAGCCGCAGUAACAC
rnacentral:rRNA from 1 species